rnacentral:rRNA from 1 species
AUACAGAGGGUGCGAGCGUUGUCCGGAUUCACUGGGCGUAAAGCGCGCGUAGGCGGUUUUGUAUGUCACGUGUGAAAUCCCGGAGCUCAAUUCCGGGGCUGCAUGUGAAACUGCGAGACUAGAGCUCGGUAGAGGCAAGUGGAAUUCCCGGUGUAGCGGUGGAAUGCGUAGAUAUCGGGAAGAACACCAGUGGCGAAGGCGGCUUGCUGGGCCGAUGCUGGCGCUGAGGUGCGAAAGCGUGGGGAGCAAACAGGAUUAGAUACCCCGGUAGUCC